AAGAGAGCGUGAGGGUGCAGUGCUACAGUUCACUCGUACAUUUGCAGCAGAAGUGGCAAUGCUCUUUGAGCUUUGGCAGUCGAAUCACCUUUACUUUAUUGCACUCAAGGCACAGCAAAUUAAAAAACAAAACCCAACUAAAUGGACUAUGGCUACAGGCUGAUUGCAAAUCUGGAAUACACGAAGAUCGUUUUUGUUCUAUAAAAAAGUGAAGGCACUUUUUUUAAUGACUCUUCACAGUACUUUUUCACCUGGACUAAUUUCAACCAAGUGUUUCUCCAACAGUUUGUUUUCUUCAAGCCAUCUAGGAGAUCUUCAAGACAUCCACUGCAUGAACAUUUGUGGGGAAGAUGUAUUCUUCAGGAUGAAUGAUGGUGAAGUUAAAAGGAAUCAUCUGUUGUGUUCUUGAAGACGCUAUGAUAAUGUAUGAUCGCUUGGAUAUGUCUGUGUCAAAUCAAGCCUUGGUCUAAAGGAUCUCAUGCGAACUCCUGACAAAGAAACCACCCGUGUUUGAACUCACAUGUUCGGGGCCGUGUACGUGUACCAGGAAUGCCAUUUUACUCGUUGCUUGGACUUGUUCACUUUUUAAACGUCAAAAAGAAGAGUUCGCUUUUAGUCUUGUAGGUUCCUUUCAACUACAAAGAUGCACAACACGACUGAUCCAAAUCUGAGCGAGAUUAUAGACAAGACAGAUUACAGAUUUCUGAUACCUGUUGUGAUCAUUGUCAUCAUCAUCAUCUUGGGCAACCUGCUGGUCAUCAUUGCAAUCACACGGACAGCCCUGCUCCAGACUGUAACCAACAUCUUCAUCAUGUCAUUGGCAUGCGCCGAUCUCAUCAUGGGGGUUAUGGUGGUACCACUGGGAGCCACUAUAGUCAUAACAGGUAACUGGAAACUCGGUAAAACAUUGUGCAAUUUAUGGACGUCCGUGGACAUCCUGUGCGUUACUGCCAGCAUUGAGACACUGUGUGCAAUCGCAGUCGACCGAUACAUCGCGAUCACCAGACCCCUACGCCACAAGGUCCUGCUUAGCAAGUGGCGCGUUCGACUGAUUGUAUGCUUGGUGUGGGUUGUGUCUGCUCUCACCUCAUUCCCCGUCAUCAUCACCAACAUUUGGCAUGCUAAAGAUAAGAAAGCUGAAGAUUGCUACAACAGUAACAAUUGUUGUGAUUUCAUCACGAACACAGGUUUCGCAAUUGUAUCAUCAGGCAUUUCGUUUUACAUCCCUCUAGUCAUCAUGAUCUUCGUCUACACCAAUGUGUUUGUCAUUGCUACGAGGCAGGUGCAGCUAAUAGGGAAGAGUCGGCAACGUUUCCAGAACGUAAAUGCAACCACCAAUGGCAACAACAACCUCCCAUCGAGCGCAAGCAGUAGCAGUCUUACAUCAGGUAGACGGAAAUCCACACGACGAAGACCGUCCAAAUUAAGCGUGGUGAAAGAGCACAAGGCCUUAAAGACUCUGGGUAUCAUCAUGGGAUGCUUUACUCUCUGCUGGCUGCCCUUCUUCGUAGCCAACAUCAUCGACACCUAUAAUCGUGACCUGAUACCGUCAGAUGUUUUCAGAUUAUUGAACUGGCUCGGCUACAUUAAUUCCGGCCUCAACCCCAUAAUCUACUGCAGAAGUAAAGAAUUCCGUACAGCCUUCAAGAGCCUUCUAGGAUGUCCCUGGCUGCAAAUUCCCAGCAUGAACUACCUUUAUAAGGAGCUCAGGACUCGAUGCCCGUGUUUCCUGGGCUUGACAGAAGCAGGCAUGAACGGAGCUUUCCAAAAGUCUGUUAGCUCACGAGGGACAAGGCCAGAUUCUGUGCCACAGGAAGAUGGGGACGAAAGUCUAGGAAGCAGUCAGAGUAGCUACAGGAGUGAAAAAACGUCACCGGGACCUGUACGCUCGAAUGGCAGCACACACUUCAGUGAUUUCUCAGAAAUGGAGAAUGAAUUGUCCUCGGAUAUUGACGCUACAUGUCCGUGUCCUUGUUGGAGUGCUGUAAUAUAAACUUUCCAAUGGCAGAAACCUUACUGGUGACACUGGUUUCUCAAUUACUGCUGAGCAUCAAUAAAGUCAACAAGCACAUAAAACUGACUUUCUGCACUGAGAAUUACACCUUACAGGGGCUGGGAGAAUGAGACGAGUGUCAGCUGAACUGAAAGACAAAGCGAGAGAAAGAAAGAAAGAAAGAAAGAAAGAAAGAAAGAAAGAAAGAAAGAAAGAAAGAAAGGGAGAGACGCAAAAAGAGAGAGACGAAUCAUUUCAGCUGAGAUUGGAUAAACUUUCUGGCCAGACUGCAAAGAGCCACAAAAGCAACCUUACAAAUGACUGCGUUGAAAUACACAAACAAGAUAAACCAAAUGGGAACGGCUGAUCGGACGGUGGCACGCACGGAGACGGCGCGCGCAAAACAGCGGAUGGACAGCGGGAAGCGCGUCCAGGCUGCUAUUACUCUUGGCCUUUAGGGAAAAUAACUGGAUUAAACCAGUUAAGAUGGGCCGGUGUGAUGGACAACAAUCUAUAAGGGUUUGGUGGAAGCCAAGUUGGAUCCGGAGUAGUCUCUAAGCACUCCGAUAUUCUCACAGGCCGACUUCGUUCCAGCAAGUUUAUAUCUUUCCCAAAACAAAGACUUGGAAAAAAAAAACACUCAUGGCGCACAAACACCUACAGACUUUUUUUUUCGUUGUUUUUUUUUUCUUUUGGAAGCACAACGGAUGUAAUCUGUUAAAGAAUACAGAAAGUAGUGGUUGAAAGCAAAUUUUGUACUUCAUGUUAAAUUAUUUCCUAUUUAUUUGUUAUCCCCAAUUUUACCUGUGAAUGUGCUAAAGAGUUUAUCAGAAUGAUACAUGUAAUGUUAUACAGGUUCACGUCUGUUCACCGACAUGUACAGCUAAUAGUAUGGUAGCUAAUGUUUUCUGUUUUUUUUCUUCAGUUCGUCCUUAGUAAAAGUCUUUUAUAAGCUGCAAUCCCCAUGUGCACAAAAACUCAACACUUUGGCUCACAUCUCCAAAAAGAAAAAAAAAUCUAAAUGAAUUCCUCUUUUCAUUCACUUUCAGAGCUGCUAAAGUCUUUUUAAUUUUAUUUCUUUCAUAGACAAAAGGCCGAUUAAUGUGUAUCGGUCGUCUGAUCCCUAAGGCAUGACGCACAAUAUUAUUCUGUAUUAUACUUUUUUUAUAAAUAGCUUUUCAUACUCCCAACAUAGAAUUAUUCUAACGUUGAAAGAAAAAAAAACAAGCUAGGAAGAACAGAUUAUGCUUUUUCUAAUGUGAGGCGUUGGUGUUUCAUUAUCAGGUGCAAUUGCUGAGGAUUUCAAUUUCCGUGAGGAAAGUAACCCGAAAAGGAAAAUGAAUAUCAAUAAUAAUAAUAAAUGUAUUAAAUGCAAUGACGGACACACUAUCUGUGGAUCUCAGGAUAUUUGUUGUGGCCUCUGAUACAGUUCUGUUUUUUUUUUUUUGGGUUUUUUUUUUUUUUUUUUUUUUCAGAGGAAUCAGUCGGUAGCAUCCAUACUGCUUUUUGAGCUCUGUACAUAAUUCCUUGUUCACUGUGAUUUUCUUGUAACAAUAACGAGCAGAUAAAUAACAGGAAAUAUGUAAAAAUAAAUAAAUAAAUAAACAAAUAAAUAUCCAGGGCUGUACAAUUAUGUUUGCCAAAAAAAAAAAAAACAACAAAAGAAAGAAAUAAGAAAGAGUGAGAGAGACUUUUAUUAUUAUUAUUUCAAUGUUGUAAUUGUGGACUUUAUCAAUUUGUAAUUGUGUUAGAAAGUGAUAUAUUGAAACCAAAUUUUGGAGUUAUGAACAAUUCUUCAGAGAGAUUUAAACUAUAAAUUAAAGAUUGAACUAAAGCAAAACACAAACAUCGGAACCAGUGACAGAAUAUUUGAAUGUGUUAUCUGAAAACAGCUGCUUUGAAACCAAAAAAAAAAGCCUUAUUUCAGUGUAAAUGUACCACUAUAUACAACAUCCAGUGUUGAUUGUGAAUGUGUGAUUAAUUAUGCAGCCCUAUAAACGUAUAUAUUAUAAAUAAAUAAGUUAAAACUCUUCAAAA